GACGAACGCUGGCGGCGUGCUUAACACAUGCAAGUCGAACGGUGACCCAGGGCUUGCCCUGGUGAUCAGUGGCGAACGGGUGAGUAACACGUGGGCAACCUGCCCCUGACUUCGGGAUAACUCCUCGAAAGAGGAGCUAAUACCGGAUACGACCACUUCGGACAUCCGAUGGUGGUGGAAAGUUUUUCGGUCAGGGAUGGGCCCGCGGCCUAUCAGCUAGUUGGUGGGGUAAUGGCCUACCAAGGCGACGACGGGUAGCCGGCCUGGAGAGGGCGACCGGGCCACACUGGGACUGAGACACGGCCCAGACUCCUACGGGAGGCAGCAGUGGGGAAUAUUGCGCAAUGGGCGAAAGCCUGACGCAGCGACGCCGCGUUGAGGGAUGAAGGCC
rnacentral:rRNA from 1 species